CGGGGAUAACAGGCUGAUCUCCCCCAAGAGCUCAUAUCGACGGGGAGGUUUGGCACCUCGAUGUCGGUUCGUCACAUCCUGGGGCUGGAGAAGGUCCCAAGGGUUCGGCUGUUCGCCGAUUAAAGUGGCACGUGAACUGGGUUCAGAACGUCGCAAGACAGUUCGGUCCCUAUCUGUGGUGGGCGUUAGAAGAUUGAGAAGACAUGACCUUAGUACGAGAGGACCGGGUCGUACGUACCGCUGGUGUAUCAGUUGUGCCGCCAGGUGCAAUGCUGAGUAGCUAUGUACGGACAGGAUAAACGCUGAAAGCAUCUAAGCGUGAAACCUACUUCAAGAUGAGUCUUCUUUUAAGGGCCGUCAGAGACUAUGACGUUGAUAGGCUACAGGUGUAAAAGUGGUGACACUAAAGCCGAGUAGUACUAAUUGCCCGUACGCUUUAAUUUU
rnacentral:rRNA from 1 species